GUUUAUCCACGAAGUUCAAGACGUAUUCCAGCUUUGUCCUCGUACCAUCCCAGCUGGAAGCAGCCGCUUGUCCCAGUGUACAGAAAUCACUGACGCCGACCGGUUCCUGACCUUCUGGAAGUCCGUCUCAGCUUUCAAUGUGAAAUUCAAUAAAAGUCUUUGAGCUUCA